UGCACAGUAAGCCAUCUAAAAGCCGGAUAAUCAUCUUGCUGCCAAAAAUUGUCACACUUUUAUGAUCAAUAUAUCCUGCUGUUUGGAUUAAUCUAUUUUAUGAUUCUAUGAUUCUGUGAUUCUGUGUAUGCAUUUUGUGUGAAGUCCACUUGCAGUAUGCUCACAUGCAUUUUAUUUAAAGCUUACUAAUUGGCAGUUUUUUGGGUCUUCUUCCACAAGUAAGAUUUGAAAAUAAAAUAACUUCUGACUUCUGGCUGCACUUUGAUCCAUGAUCAUCUCUCAUGGAGCAGGUUUGGACUGAAGUAAAUAGAAAUAGCUUUUUGUGGGGGCUGAGUCUAAACUCAUUUCAGCACAUUUGGGGAGUGCUAAACAAGUCAGCCCUCAUUUGCUAGAUUUUUACUGGAGUCAGAAGAAGUGAGACAAUGAAGAGCAAGGACAAAAUGUCCCUAAAACAUUUACAUGAAAAAAGUUCUACACCUCUCCACACCAUACCCCCUGUCCCAACUUACUGACAGAAGUGAUGUAUCAAAUGUAUUUUGUGAUAUAAUUUACUAAUACUGGUAACUUGAGAAAGUUCAAACGAUGUUCUUUUCACAGAAUGGAACAAUGAUAGUACCUAUAUAUGUAGGAAAAUACACUGUCAGCCAAGGACCGUGUCAACUGACCAUCUCAGGUGGAGUUGUUUCACAGGAGAGCAGUUGAAAACUAAAAAAGAGCAUUUGAAGAACAAAAUAAAAAAUGAGUCACCAUUGCAUGUCCUGGAGAGAGAACUCCGGAGAAAAUAUCUCUGUGAAGGAACCAUCCCCUGUGGGUCAAGAAUGAGGCAGCGACCUGAAAGUUUACCCUGGAUUCCUCUCCCUCCUAUGCAUGUGGAUAAGGCAAGGAGCCUUCAACAGCACGCCCCUUCCUGAAACCAGAAAUGGGCAUUGUUUGCCUUGACUUCAGCCAGUCUUUUGACACUUAUCUAUACGUAUAAAAAUCUGAGGAAGGAAGUAAGGACAGAGACAGAAGCUUGUCAGCAGUGCCCAGUGACAGGACAAGAAGUAAUCUGCACACAUUGAAACACAGAAAAUCCCAUUUAAACAUAUGAAAAUACUUUAUUAUUGUUGAAUUCUGUAGCAUGUCACCCAGAGUGGUUGUUGAGUCUCCACUUUUUGUGACUGGUACUCUGAACUUAAGUGUACACUGCCCUGAGGUGAGAGGUGCCUUCCAGUACCUUUGAGUCCAUGACUGUGUGUUUCUGUAAUAUUGCAGAGAUAUGUAAUGGUUCAAAUAACUUCUGUGUUUAUUUCAGGGAGGUUCAUAAUGUACUGGAGAAAAUGCCUGAAAAAAUUCUAUGACUUUUUUUUCAUAUGAAGUUCAUUUUUCAUUAUAAGUUUUAAUUAUGAAAACAAUUUAUAUAGAAAUUAAAUAAACUAUCUACAGUCAGAGGGAGACCCUGUGUUUUAAGGAGAUGGAAAGAUGUCUAAUAAUUCCUGUGUCUAAAAGUUUCUAUGCUGUCAUUGCCAUAAAUUAAGUUUCUAAUUAAACACAUGCUCACAUACACACUCUUGGACAGGAAUGCUAUGCUUGAUCAAUAGCUGUAGGCUACACGGUAGCAGGCAGAAUUAUAGCAAAUGGAACUGGAUGAAUGGGUUUGCUUAAUGACCACAAUAUGAUUUAUUUCAUUGGUGGGAAAGGGAGAAAGGAAGACAUCAAACUGCUAAAAAUACUACCUGAGCAAAUUAAAAUAUGAUCUUGCAGGAGAUAUAUCCCCAAGAGAUCCCAUGUGAGUGCAGCAGAUCAGAGCUCAGAUCAUUCUUUCUAAACAUACUUGACAACAGUGUCUCAGCUAAUCUACACUUAGCUUCUUUUCCACUUAUAAUUAAGAAGGCAUUUUGAGGUUUUUUGUUUGUUUGUUUGUUUGUUUGUUUGUUUUUCAAGUUGAUGCUUUAAACAUGGACAAUAAUUUACUGAAUCUGCACGAUUACAGAGUGUCAAGAUUUGGGCAGAUGUAGGAGUCUCUAGAGGACAAAAAGGGGUAGGAGGUUGAAAAAGAGUUGGAGGCCAAGAAGAGGUGUGAUUCCAAGAAAAAUUAUAAAGGACAAAAGCCAUAGGAGGCCAGAAAUGAGUGGGAAGAAAGAAAUAAUAAAAAAAAAAAGUAUGGGAGGCCAAAAAGGGAGAGGAGGCCAAUAGAAAAGUAGAGGCUGAAAAGGGUGAGAUAAUAUAAGAAAAGUACAGGCUACAAAGGGUGAGUGUGACUGAAAAGUGGCAAGUGGUCAAAAGAAACCUGAAUAUUGAAAAAAGCAGGACAAAAGGAGAUGAUAAACCAAAGUAGAAGUAGAGGCCUAAAUAGAGGUCUGAGGCCAAAAAAGGGUGUAGGGACAAGAAAUAUGUAGACACUGAAAAGAAGUGAGAGGCUGAAAAGGGCAUGGGAGGUCCAAAAGCAGUGGGAGGCCUAAAAGGGAUGAGGCGCUCAGAGAAAUGUAGAGGUUGAAAACAGGGUAGAGGCUAAAAAGGACUGGGGGUAAUCAAGAAAAGUAGAGCUCAGGAAAGGCAUGAGGGGUUUAAAAAUCAUGGGAGACAAAACAGGGGUGGGAAUGCUCAGAAGAGGUAAGAGUCUGAAAGAAAAGUGGAGGUAGAAUGGGAAUAAGAGAAAAAUACAGGCUGAAAAAGGCAGGACCAUCUGAAAAGGGAUGGGUGGCAAAUAUUAAAUGUGUAGCAGGAGAAGAAGUAUUCCCCAUCACCCACAAAAACACGUAUACAUGUAUACUAAUUUUGCUGCUGGUUAUUAGAAAUAUUCCUUCAUUUUCUCUUUUCUCCUACUUAUGUAUCAAUGAAAAAUGCAGAAACUCAAUAUAAAUCAGGUCUUGACUUUUUCUAUAAUUGUGCUUUUCAAAGUAGAUAAUUAAAUUUCUGCCUCUUUAGAAAAAGGUCAGCAUGUUGGGGUAACAAAUAUUCAUAUCUCUAGGGCAUUUGCCCUUAUUAGCCAUGAAUCACUGUUUCAUAAGCUUGGAACCUUGGCUAGAAUCCAUCUAACCUAAAAUACUUUGAGAAUCUAUGAAUUAGCUAAGAUCCACUUUUAUAGUUCAGCUUUAUUACUGAUUAACCUGGAUAUGGCAUCGUCUGUUGUGCUGUAAUUCAGAAACUAACACUAUUGCUGUUGUCUAGACCUUAAAUGUACGGUGCUACUUCUCUGUUACUUAAAGAGUUUGUUGCUAUGCUGAUCACUUGUUUUAUACAAAGGUUAAGACAGCACACAGGAUGAGGUUACUGAAGAAGCCUUUGGGAGGCUGAUGGCUGUCUUAAUAUUCAUUUCCACAUCAGUGAACUCAAAUCAAGGAAAACAUUUGUGUAUAGUUAAUGCUGGAUAGUUUAGACACAAGUUUACUGGCAUAAUCAAAGUCAUUUUGUGAAGAAACCAACAGAACCACUGUUUUCUCUUUUUCCAUUUUAUGCAAUUGUUUCUUGUGAUCUAAGUUCAUAUUAAGGUUUCUAGUUAGAUCUGAAACUGCUUUUAAAGAUUGCAGUGGUGGUACUUUUUAUUCCAUUUACUUAGUAUUUAUUUCUAUUCUUGCAUUUUCACAAUUAAAUAUCAUAACCUGCGUCUCUGCUUUUGUCUUGGGAUAGAUCUAUAAAACCUCUCCAGACCUCUGGAUGUCUGCUUGAGUUGACACCAAGCUGAGAGCUGCCUAUCUGUGCAGUUAUAAACAUCCAACAUCAAUACGCUCUCUGGGUGGGGGGGUAGGAAGCCUGGGACAGUUCUGUGCCUGGUGUUCCAGAGCAACCUGCUGGCCCAGCCUGAAAUAGGGUGACAAAAGUAUGACACUGUAGGCAUGUGUCAGCAUGCCCUUGCUUGUCUCAAGUGUUCAGACCUAUCACUAACCCUCCCUAUUAGUAAAGUUAGGAGUUUACAGUGCCUCCAGCUCAGCUGCAUUCUUAACUUCAGAAUGUCACUGAGCCUCUUAGCUUUCUAUGGACAAAGAUCCUGAGACACAAAACUAAUAGGAAACUGUGCUUAGCUUAACUUAAAGCCUGCUGAAACUGAGAGACUAAGAGGUCUCUCACCUGUUGAGAAUUAUCCUUCAAAGGUACUUCUAGACUGUGUCUGUGUAAAACAAAAGCGGAAUAUCCACCUAUACUUGCAGCCACUUCCUCUGUGGAUAAGUCAUUAGAACACACUUCCACUAGUAAUGGAUUUAAUUAUUUAGAUCUCUCCCUUCUUCUUGGUAGUCUUCCAGACAUUUUUAAUUCACUUUCAUUCACUCCAUACUUUAACCACUGGGCUUUCUGGUACUCCUCACUCUUCGUCCUUCCUUUUGAAACAGUUUCAUAUGGUGUGGACCAAAUAGGAAGGAGUACAGAUGUAUUUCCCAUGCCUUUUUUUAAGAGUAUUUGCCUAAGACAUCUUGAUUAUCCUUGAAAUGCCAGUCAAAAUUUAAAGUUUAAGCACUUUAAGUACAGAUUGUAGCAGUGAGAGUAAUGGAAAGUCUUUUUUUUUCAGGUAAGUACCAUAACAGCUAAGCUAUAUGUUUCUGUCUGCUCACCCUCUCUUUCUGGUCUGCUGAAUACUAAAUGAUAAAAUUAAAUUUAAUAUUAAAGUGGAAGAAUCACAAUAGGAGGGCAUGAGAGCAUCUGCUCUCACAUGUCUGUAGAAUAGUGAUUCAAACCCUCACCUGGAAGGUGAGAAAGGUGGGUUCACAGCCCUUCAGAGAAAGAAAUUGAAGCUGAGAGCAUUUAACUUGCACCUGUGAGAGUUGUUUUAGGCAGGAUUUCUUUAUUAAAUAUGACAGCAACUCCUAGAUCAUAAAAAGGACUGAAUAGCUUUGGUAAUAAAGAACAAAGAAAAGUGUGAGUGUGUCUAGUCAUACAAAGACUGUAGAUGCUAGAAAUAUAUUAAGUUACAACUCCAGCACAAGUAUAUUCUGUGUCUUUUUUAACUUGCCAUCGAUCUUCAGGCCACAUAAAACAAAAGUUUUUUUCAUAGCAAUUUAGCAUUUUUUCAUGUUCUUCCGAAGAGCUGACAAAAUGUGUUGAGACUCCACUAAUAGCUUUGUGUGACUGCACAAAACUUGUUCAGUAAUCAU